rnacentral:tRNA from 1 species
GGGGACGUAGCUCAGUUGGGAGAGCACCAGAUUUGCAUUCUGGGGGUCGUGAGUUCGAACCUCAUCGUCUCCA